GAUCUCCUUGCCGCCGCCACCUCCGCCUCUCACCCCUCCUCUGCCUUUGUCUCUGUGUUUCUCCUCCACUCCCCACGAUUCCCCCAACCAACCCCAUCACCGCCGCCGACGCCGACGACCUCCUCUCCCCCAACCCCACCGCCGGCGCCCCCCACCUCACCAGGAGCCACUGCCAUGGACAGAGCCGCUGCCUCUCUCGGCGCCCGAAGCCCUAGCUCAGGCCGCCGCGACCCACCCGCUGCGUCCCACGUUCACGCGCGAGAUCCGCCCCAUGGCGAUGUUCGAUCCAGGCAGGCCCGAGGAAGGAGAGCAGUCGGCUCCCUUCCUCCUCUCCGGUGAGCCUGAGCGAGCACCCCCUCCCCCAUGACCACAAAUCCACCCCCGGUUCCUCCAUCCUCCCUCCAGUCUCCGACGCUGUCGCCGCCCAGCCACGGAGUACCACCGCAACACCUGGUAUGGCGCACCACGGCCACCCAUCGCCGGUGACCUCCCAUAGCUCCGACCCUGGCUGCCUCCUAGCGCACUGCAGCUUCACCAGCCUCCCCCUCCCCACCUCCUCCGCACCGCCGCUGGACCAGCGUGCCGCGUUGCCCUCAGAUCCGGCUUCCAGGAGCUGCCACGGUCGUUCAGCAGUUCAUUGUGAGAAUCCAUUGCGCUAGCCGCGCCGCACCUUUUCCUGCUUCUUCUCGUCUGAGGCGAGCACCAGCGAUUAACAUAUUCAAGUCAAGAUGGUUAGGUUUGGGAAAAAGUUGACGGCCGGCCAAGUUCCAGAGUGGAGAGGUGUUUACAGUUACUAUAUAAACUACAAGCUGAUGAAGAAGAAAGUAAAACAAUAUGGGCAGCAGCUCCAACAGGGAGAGAAAGACCGUCGCCGUGUUCUCAAGGAUUUCUCAAAGAUGCUUGAUGAUCAGGUAGAAGAUAGCAACAGAGUGGGAAGGUUUGUGCAGAGAUCUUGCCUCGAGGUUAUCACAGAUGCGCACAAUAUGACACUGAAUUGACCAAAAAUAGGGAGCUACAAGAUGAACUUUUAAAGGCCGGUUCCAUUUUCUGUAUAUGCCUUGUACACUCUUAUAUUCUUCCAUGAUUGAAGUCUGCAAUGCUUAUGGGACAAUCUUUGUUUGUAGGUUAAGACCUCACUGUCUGCUUCAACGAAGAGAUUUGAAGAGCUGCAAAAGGUAAUUUUGGGGCAAAUUUCCAUUGCUGCAGGAUAAUGAGAUGUUGAAGCGGCAGACUGAAUCCAUGACACCGAAGUGCAAAGCGGCAGAUUAUCUCUAUUUUUCCUUUUCAUUUUUCUUAUUAUUGGAGUGAGAACGGAUAGAAUGAGGAACUGUGUGAUAGUAGAUACAACAACUGUAGUAGAAAGAAACUUAUGUUUGCAAUUGUUAAUGACAUACAUUCUUGCAUGUUCUUUGAA